CUGUAGAGUCCAACAGAACGACACCCACCAGACCAGAGAGGCUCACAUACAUGUUCCAGAUGAUUUCUUCUUGUCCUCCUCCAGUUCUGCUGAUGGGAUGAUGGGAAGAACAGUUCCAGUUCUUCCCAUCAUCACUGGUUUGGCUGUUAGCUUAGCUGUUAGCAUCAUGGUUAUUUUAGCAGGUGUCUUCUUUGUGUGGAGACAAAAUAGAACCAAAACCAAGAAAAGAUCCAGAGAUGAAGCUGAGAGAGGAGAAAAGCUCCUGACAGAGG